rnacentral:rRNA from 1 species
UUUGGUGGUUAUAGCGAAGGUGUUCACCUCUUCCCAUUCCGAACAGAGAAGUUAAGCCCUUCAGCGCUGAUGAUACUGCCCUACCAGGUGGGAAAGUAAGUCGCCGCCAAUA